rnacentral:rRNA from 1 species
AGUCGUACGAGAGUUUUAAACUCAAGUGGCGGACGGGUGAGUAACACGUAAGAAUUUACCUUUAGGAGGGGGACAACAGCUGGAAACGGUUGCUAAUACCCCAUAUGCUUUCGAGUGAAAUGGAUUUUUCCGCCUAGAGAGAAGCUUGCGGCUGAUUAGCUUGUUGGUAAGGUAAUGGCUUACCAAGGCGACGAUCAGUAUCUGGUUUGAGAGGACGAUCAGACACACUGGAACUGAGACACGGUCCAGACUCCUACGGGAGGCAGCAGUGGGGAAUUUUCCGCAAUGGGCGCAAGCCUGACGGAGCAAUCUCGCGUGAGGGAUGACUGCCUAUGGGUUGUAAACCUCUUUUUUCAGGGAGGAAUUAAUGACGUGUACCUGAAGAAUAAGCAUCGGCUAACUCCGUGCCAGCAGCCGCGGUAAGACGGAGGAUGCAAGUGUUAUCCGGAAUCACUGGGCGUAAAGCGUCUGUAGGUGGUUUAAUAAGUCAACUGUUAAAUCUUGAAGCUCAACUUCAAAAUCGCAGUCGAAACUAUUAGACUAGAGUAUAGUAGGGGUAAAGGGAAUUUCCAGUGGAGCGGUGAAAUGCGUAGAGAUUGGAAAGAACACCGAUGGCGAA